AUGCUCUUACUUGAUUUCUUUGUGGCUGGGACAGAUCAAUCUCGCACAAUGGAAAUUGCAAUAGCCGACAUCAUGCCGCAGACUGCGCAUCGGUGGUGCAAAUGGCACGUGCUGAAGAAGGCAAAAGAGAGCCUUGGAGCGCUGCUUGCAGAAGGGAGUGAAUUCAAGCCAGAGUUCAGCAAGCUAGGCCACCACGUAGUUAGUACUGAUGAAUUUGAGAAGGGAUGGGCAUGCUUGAUUGAGAAAUAUGGCCUCCAGACCAAUACAUUCCUAACGCAACUUUACGAAGUUAGGGGGAAGUGGGCAAAGCCAUACUUCAUGGGUGUGUUUUGUGCAAAAAUGACAAGUACGCAGCAAAGUGAGAGAGCAAACCACCUUCUCAAAGGGUAUGUGCCACCAGGCUGCCCCAUGCACUUGUUCAUCCGGCAAUAUGAGAAGAUGCAAUUUGACCGUGACUCAGAGGAAAGUUACCAGGAGAAGAGGACAAAACCAGGUGAGAUUGUGCUGAAGCAAAAUAUCCCAUUUGAGGUACAUGCGUUGCAGGUUUACACCAGGACAAUGUUUGAGAAAUUUGGUGAAGCAUUGUACGAGUGUGGGUCAUAUGAUCUAAUAGAAGUCGAACCCCGAUUGGAGUACAUUUCUAGGCACAUAAAAUUCCAGUCAGGGGAAAAGUGGUGCAAGAAUGAGUUUAUCAUCUCAGUGAGUGAGCCAGCCGAUGAGUUCAUUUGCGAGUGUGAACGUUUGAGCACUAUGGGAUGGUUUGCAGCCAUGUGCUUAAGGUCAUGA
rnacentral:rRNA from 1 species